rnacentral:tRNA from 1 species
GCCGGGGUGGCGGAACAGGUAGACGCAGCGGACUUAAAAUCCGCCGGGUUCUCACUCGUACCGGUUCGAUUCCGGUCCUCGGCA